AUUGAACGCUGGCGGCAGGCCUAACACAUGCAAGUCGAGCGGAUGAAGGGAGCUUGCUCCUGGAUUCAGCGGCGGACGGGUGAGUAAUGCCUAGGAAUCUGCCUUGUAGUGGGGGAUAACGUCCGGAAACGGGCGCUAAUACCGCAUACGUCCUGAGGUAGAAAGUGGGGGAUCUUCGGACCUCACGCUAUCAGAUGAGCCUAGGUCGGAUUAGCUAGUUGGUGGGGUAAAGGCCUACCAAGGCGACGAUCCGUAACUGGUCUGAGAGGAUGAUCAGUCACACUGGAACUGAGACACGGUCCAGACUCCUACGGGAGGCAGCAGUGGGGAAUAUUCGACAAUGGGCGAAAGCCUGACGCAGCCACGCCGCGUGAGUGAAGAAGGUCUUCGGAUUGUAAAGCACUUUAAGUUGGGGGGAAGGGCAGUAAGUUAAUACAUUGCUGUUUUGACGUUACCAACAGAAAAAGCACCGGCUAACUUCGUG
rnacentral:rRNA from 1 species